GACGAACGCUGGCGGCGUGCUUAACACAUGCAAGUCGAACGAAGAGCGAUGGAAGCUUGCUUCUAUCAAUCUUAGUGGCGAACGGGUGAGUAACGCGUAAUCAACCUGCCCUUCAGAGGGGGACAACAGUUGGAAACGACUGCUAAUGCCGCAUACGAUCUGACCUCGGCAUCGAGGAUAGAUGAAAGGUGGCCUCUAUUUAUAAGCUAUCACUGAAGGAGGGGAUUGCGUCUGAUUAGCUAGUUGGAGGGGUAACGGCCCACCAAGGCGAUGAUCAGUAGCCGGUCUGAGAGGAUGAACGGCCACAUUGGGACUGAGACACGGCCCAGACUCCUACGGGAGGCAGCAGUGGGGAAGCUUCCGCAAUAGACGAAAGUCUGACGGAGCAACGCCGCGUGAGUGAUGACGGCCUUCGGGUUGUAAAGCUCUGUUAAUCGGGACGAAAGGCCUUCUUGCGAAUAGUUAGAAGGAUUGACGGUACCGGAAUAGAAGGCCACGGCUAACUACGUG
rnacentral:rRNA from 1 species